AAAUCGGGGUACCUAGCGGUGCUUCCGAAUUGUAAUCUAGAGACACUUUUUCAGCUUCGACCCGGGUAUAAAUCUUUUGAAACAAGGUGUCAUAGAGGGUGAGAAUCCCGUCUUUGACCCGGAGUUCGGGGCGUACGAAGGGUGUUCCAAGAGUCGAAUAGCUUGGGAAUGCUGUUCUAAAUGGGUGGUAAAUUUCAUCUAAAGCUAAAUAUCGACGAGAGACCGAUAGCGAACAAGUACCGUGAGGGAAAGAUGAAAAGAACUUUGAAAAGAGAGUUAAAAAGUACUUGAAAUUGUUAAGAAGGAAGCACUGGAAACCAGUUAUACUUUUUAUACAUAGACACUGUGUUGGUGAGAGGGCAAAUCGGUAUCUCAUAGAGCCGACCAAACUUCAAAGCUAGCACGGUGUUCUCGUAUGAGGAGGAAGUCAGGAUCAGGUAGCUUCGCAGAAGAAAGCUAGCGGAAGGUAGUCAAUUAGUAGCGAUAUUAGUUGAAACUUAUAGCCGCUGGUCAAACUGUGGAGCUGCCUGAGGAAUCACGAUAAUGCGCUCCGCAAGGCUGCUGGUGGGGAUCCCUUUCUGGCCGCGAUUUUGAAGGACAAAGUCCUGCAGAGGUCGCGGUUGGUUACUGGGUUUUCACUUGACCGCGCAUUCGCGAUCUUGACGAAAUGGUUUUCAUUGACCCGUCUUGAAACACGGACCAAGGAGUCUAACGUAUAUGCGAGUAUUUGGGUCUGAAAACCCUGAUGCGCAAUGAAAGUGAAGCAGGAUUUAUCCUGUGAGGUAGGAACCGUAAGGGGCACUAUCGACCGAUCGUUCAUUCAUGAAAGAUUUGAGUAAGAGCAUAUCUGUUGGGACCCGAAAGAUGGUGAACUAUGCCUGAUCAGGGUGAAGCCAGGGGAAACUCUGGUGGAGGCUCGUAGCGAUACUGACGUGCAAAUCGUUCGUCUGAAUUGGGUAUAGGGGCGAAAGACUAAUCGAACCAUCUAGUAGCUGGUUCCCGCCGAAGUUUCCCUUAGGAUAGCAAGAACUUAUACAGUUUUAUCAGGUAAAGCUAAUGAUUAGAGGUCCUAGAGUUGAAACAACUUUAACCUAUUCUCAAACUUUAAAUAGGUAAGAAAUCUAUGCUUGCUUUAUUGAAGCUAGAUCUCGAAUGAAAGUUCUUAGUGGGCCAUUUUUGGUAAGCAGAACUGGCGAUGCGGGAUGAACCGGACGUUAAGUUAAGGUGCCAAACUAUUCGCUCAUCUAGAUACUCCUAAAAGGUGUUGGUUCAUUUAGACAGCAGGACGGUGGUCAUGGAA
rnacentral:rRNA from 1 species